CGGCCACCAAACACUACUGCUCUGCUUGGGACCUUAUGACAUGUGGUUCACCCUCCACCUGAGCCUGGUGUCAGGCAGGAGGAUGCCAAAGAGCAGGUGGAAGGGAGGGAGCUGGAGCUUCUCCAGAGGUGGCCUCACCGGCUGCUUUUUAUGGACAAGGAGAUACCUGAUCUGGCUCUGAACCAUCCUCCCAGAUACCUGACCAGAUACUUCCUGAUUUCGUGCUCUUCCUGAGCUACUGAAUCCUCCACUUGGCUCUCUGGAGAGAUCUUCUGGCUUCUGAAUUCCUGGUCUCUCCUGACCCUGAGGUGAUGCCCAGACCUUACUGUACAUGGCCUGACAUAACACUGAUCCUAACAGAUUUUCCAAGAUUUCCCUGAAGAUCAAAUGCUCCCAGUCUUUCUCCAAAAUGACUCCCUCCAUCCACUCCUGAGACAGAGAAAUUGAGUCGCUGGACAGAUGAAAAGUUUCAACACAGGACCGAACAUGAAACCCUCAGUACAAGUAGCCUAAUUUCACACAUUAGCCAGAGGGAAAUAAACACCUCAACAGAGUUAGAGAAACUUGGAACACUGGCAAAAAGUUUCUGUUCUCUCUGCUCCUCUGGGAUCCAGGAGCUAUCAGAGUCCUUAGUAACAUUGUCUACAUUUGGAAUCCCUUUUCACUUGAAAUAUUUGCCCAAGUACUUCAACCUAUACUUCUGCUACUCUCUCCCUUUCUUCUGCCUCAGCAAAUUUAAGUGGCAUUUUCUACAAGUCUCCCUUUGCUUAUACAGUUCACUCCCCACCUAGGAACUUCUGCAUUGCCUACCUGAAACCUUUCACCUGCAUCUCAUUUCUGUUAUGCGUUACCAUGGGAGUUAUGAAAGAAAAUAGAUACCCCCCUUGGAGAACUGGCCCUCUCA